ensembl:miRNA
CGGAUGGCGCCGGUGCCGCGGGCCCAUACCCGGCUGUAGUUCUUCCAAGGAGAACUUGGAAGGCCAAAGUGGAGAAGGGUUCCAUGAG